GGCCCGUUGGUCAAGAGGUUAAGACACCGCCCUUUCACGGCGGAAUCAUGGG
rnacentral:tRNA from 1 species